rnacentral:lncRNA from 1 species
AGUGAAUGUUUGGUCAAAUCCUAUUAACACUUUGAAAUGCUUGUUUGCUUUGCCAAACUGUUGUUCUAAAGGUUGGUUACUUUUUAUCAGCAGUUAAAAGCCCCUAACCUUACCAACACCAAGGUGAUCUGUAAUAUUGUAUUUCAUGAAUGUAUUUCUAGUUGGGAAAAAACUCUCUUUUUGCCAUUAUGAGAGAUUGUUGUUACAGUAGGAAAUGAAGCAAUAUAGCAAUAGAUAGAAAAUGAAGAAAUCUGAGUCCUUAAAAUUUUUUACUACUACAUACCGUUGCCAAUCCUGGGCAAGUGGGAGUCAUGGUGUACAAAUUGGAUAAGCACAACAGUAUAAUUCAAACUGUAAUCAUAUAACUUCACAAUGGUAUGUGAACAGAAUCAUGUUUGAUACUCCUUUAUUUCAGUAGUUUAAGAUCUCUUAUUGUAGAAUAUGUGCAUUGUCCUUUAAAAGUGCUCCUAGUCACUAUUGUGUAAUUUGUUGUGACAAUUAAAUAUUUGGUUGUACUUAUUGCCUAAUAUUAUACUUUUAUGCUCUUCAUAUUAUCAGUGUUUAGUAUAAAUUCCUAAGUUAGAUGACUUCUAAGAUCCUAUGUAGUUUCCCCAAAGUCUAUUUAUAAUAGACUAUUUCCUCCAUCAUUUUAUAAGUAUCUGUGGUUCUCCUGGGAAUCUACCAUUUCAUUUGUUGCUUUUUCUUCUUCUAAUAAGGACUAUAUUAUCAGUUCAAAAUUAUCAAUUUACAUAUUGAUUAC